rnacentral:lncRNA from 1 species
UCUGUCUGGUCCUGGGCUUCUCUUUUGGUUGGUAGGCUAUUGCUGCCUCUAUUUCAGAACAUGUUAUUGGUCUAUUCAGGGAUUCCACUUCCUCCUGAUUUAGCCUUGGGAGGGUGUAUGUGUCCAGGAAUUUAUCCAUUUCUUCUAGAUUUUCUAGUUUAUUUUCAUAGAGGUGUUUAUAGUAUUCUCUGAUGGUAAUUUGUAUUUCUGUGGGAUCGGUGGUGAUAUCCCCUUUAUCAAUUUUUAUUGUGUCUAUUUGAUUCUUCUCUCUUUUCUUCUUUAUUAGUCUGGCUAGCAGUCUAUCUAUUUUGUUAAUCUUUUCAAAAAACUAGCUCCUGGAUUCAUUGGUUUUUUUGAAGGGUUUUCGUGUCUCUAUCUCCUUCAGUUCUGCUGUGUUUUAGUUAUGUCUUGUCUUCUAGGUUUUGAAUUUGUUUGCUCUUGUUUCUCUACUUCUUUUAAUUGUGAUGUUAGGGUGUCGAUUUUAGAUCUUUCCUGCUUUCUCCUGUGGGAAUUUAGUGCUAUAAAUUUCCCCUUAAACACUGCUUUAGCUGUGUCCCAGAGAUUCUGGUAUGUUGUGUCUUUUUUCUCAUUGGUUUCGAAGAACUUAUUUAUUUCUACCUUAUUUUUGUUAUUUACCCCGUAGGCAUUCAGGAGCAGGUUGUUCAGUUUCCAAGUAGUUGUGCAUUUUUGAGUGGAUUUCUUAAACCUGAGUUCUAAUUUGAUUGCAGUGUGGUCUGAGAGACUGUUUGUUAUGAUUGCCAUUCUUUUGCAUUUGCUGAGGAGUGUUUUACUUCCAAUUAUGUGGUCAAUUUUAGGAUAAGUGCAAUGUGGUGCUGAGAAGAAUGUAUAUUCUGUUGAUUUGGGGUGGAGAGUUACGUCACUGUCUAUUAGGUCUGCUUGGUCCAGGGCUGAGUUCAAGUCCUGAAGAUCCUUGUGAAUUUUCUGUCUCGUUGAUCUGUCUAAUAUUGACAGUGGGGUGUUAAAGUCUCCCAUUAUUAUUGUGUGGGAGUCUAAGUCUCUUUGUAGGUCUCUUAGAACUUGCUUUAUGAAUCUGGGUGCUCCUGUAUUAGGUGCAUAUAUAUUUAGGGUAGUUAGCUCUUCUUGUUGCAUUGUUCCCUUUACUAUUAUGUAAUGCCCUUCUUUGUGUUUUUUGAUCUUUGUUGGUUUAGAGUCUGUUUUAUCAGAGACUAGGAUUGCAACACUUGCUGUUUUUGCUUUCCAUUUGCUUGGUAAAUAUCCUCCAUUCCUUUAUUUUGAGUCUGUGUGCGUCUUUGCACAUGAGAUAGGUCUCCUGAAUACAGCACACUGAUGGGUCUUGACUCUUUAUCCAAUUUGCCAAUCUGUGUCUUUUAAUUGGGGCUUUUAUCCCAUUUACAUUUAAGGUUAAUAUUGUAAUGUGUUAUUUGAUUCUGUCAUUAUGAUGCUAGCUGGUUAUUUUGCCCAUUAGUUUAUGCAGUUUCUUCUUAGUAUCGAUGGUCUUUACUGUUUGGUACGUUUUGCAGUGGCUGGUACCAGUUUUUCCUUUCCAUAUUUAGUGCUUCCUUCAGGAGCUCUUGUAAGGCAGGCCUGGUGGUGACAAAAUCUCUCAGCAUUUGCUUAUCUGGAAAGGAUUUUAUUUCUCCUUCACUUACAAAACUUAAUUUGGCUGGAUAUGAGAUUCUAAGUUGAAAAUUCUUUACUUUAAGGAUGUUGAGUAUUGGCCCCCACUUUCUUCUGACUUGUACGGUUUCUGCUGAGAGAUCCACUGUUAGUCUGAUGGGCUUCUCUUUGUGGGUAACCCGACCUUUCUCUCUGGCUGCCCUUAACAUUUUUUUCUUCAUUUCAACCUUCGUGAAUCUGACGAUUAUGUGUCUUGGGGUUGCUCUUCUCGAGGAGUAUCUUUGUG